UUGUUUCUAUACUUACAAAUUCAACUAAACCCAAUGUUUGAAGAGAACCAGCUUUUUGCACACUAAUAUCCACAGUAAACUACAUGCAUGUUGCCCCUGUAUCUACAGUGAUGUCACUGAUCCAUGCACGACAUGUUGAGUGCUGGGAGCACGUGAGAAACGUGCAAAGCUUCGACAUCCCAACAGGUGUCUGGCAAAAUGCAGAAUAUUACCAUGGCAACUCAAAGCCUUAAGUCACAAUCUACAGGAAGGGACAAUCCUGGGGUUUUCUACAAUAAAUCAAAGUAGCUUAGUCGUGGAGAGCACAGAUCCCCACUAUACAACAAAUUCAACAUCCGGUUUCGAGACAAUUUUUUUCAAAUGAUUAAGAAGUCACCUUUCAUCAGGAUUCACGAAGUCGAGGUAGACUGUAUUGUGCUUUCAUGGUCAGAGGGACAAUUUUUGCUACUGCAGAUAGUAAGAUGUGCAUUUCUCACACUGACUUUGUUGAGUGUAAAUAACAGUGUCCAGGAGAGAUAUCCUUUAACUGUAAUGUGAACCUCAGAAAAUAAUAAUAAAAUGAACAAAGAACCCUCAAACAAGCAUAAAAGCGUCCCAAAACUAAAUAUUAUUAUAAGUAAAUUUUUAAAAUGAAUUAAACAUACAAAGUUUUGUCUUGUGCUUUUGGAGGGGUCUCGUUUUGGGGGUACAGGGGAAUUUAUGCCUUGUUUUCGUUGUUCGUCCACUGCAUGAUUUGUGUGAGAAUUUAGGUGUUCAAAAUCUUGUCAGAUAUAGGAUUUUCAUGAUCACAGCACAGCACAUUUCCAACGUCAAAUUAUCAGUCAUUUCAAGAGAGUUAUUCACUUUACAAUGAAAAGUUUUGUUUCCAUAACUGUGUAUUGUUUAGUACCUUUGCAUAAGAAACAUGACAAAAGUUAAGGAAUAAACACUAACAGUCGUAAAUCAUCCAAUUUUAAUGUGAUUUUCCGUACAUCCUUUGGGUAUAUAGGGUUAUUUGGCUGGCUUUGUCCAUUUCCUGUACUUCAUUUCACUUUUCCUGAACUAGUGUUUUCAGUGUCUAUUACAUACAUCUUAUCCUAAAGAAAAGAAAUAACCAUUUAAACGUGAAGAAAUACAUGGUGGUUAAAACACACACGGAAUUAUAAAAAAUAAACUGUGAAACGGCAAUACCAAAAUACAAUUUUUGUCAUCUUUUUCUUUAUAACCUGAGAUUGUUGGUUUAUUUCGUUGGAUUGUUUUUCCUCCAUGGAGUGGCUUCAGUAUUUUAACUAACUGUGCAUGCAGGAAUAGAGAAUCGAUUACACUGUACUUUAAUAUGGUACUGAUCCAGAUCUUUUUAAACGUUAGAGAUUACAAAGAAUGUUAUGCUGAAACGAAUGCGUUCCGUAAGCUUCAAACAGCUUCCUUAACAUUAAAACCAUGGAAACCAUUUUUCAUGAGUUUCAGUGUCUUAUAUUUUUUUGGUGACUCUAUCAAUUACUGCAGUAAGGACUGCCAGCAUUCGAAGCAUGUAAUGUUUUCAUUUAUUAUUUCCGCAGUCAAGUUAUUUUUCAAAUAAUGACACUUUAAGUAUUGAUCACAAAAACCUUCCCUUAAUUGCCAGUGACUAAGAUUACACCAGGCAUAGCAACACUGGACUUUGCCCUCCAAAACCGAUCAUUUAGAGUCAUGUGUUAACCUAAUUCCACUUGAUAAUGGUACAGAAGCAUACAAAAUUGAACUAACUAGCUUUCACCGGAAACUGCUCAUCUUUACACGUCUCAGUCGUGCGUGGAAUAGAAUUCAAAUUAGAAGUUGGUAUUCUUUUUCGAGAAUUUGAACUAUUUUCAGCAUAGAUUUUCUUUGUUUCGUAUAACGGAUUAAGCACAAAUCACGGCAAUUAAUGCAAACACUACUGAGGUCGAAUUAUCGCCAAGAAAUCACAAAAAUCAAUAUCAUCAUUACGGGUGAUGGUCAUAUCACCAAGGACUUAUAAAUUCAGUUCACACUUGACCGUAAAUUUAGUUAUAUACUUGAGUGUCUGUGUCAUUGCAGAGCAUUGGUCUCAUUGGGACGCGUCGAGUUGCUGUGACUAUAAGAUACGGUCAACUUGCAGGCAAAACGCUUUGUCACAACAGCAAGAAACCGCUUCGAUGUUUUAAGAAUUCCCAGAGGACACUAAGUCAACUUAACUGAAGUCCAUGUUUGACAUAAGAGAGGAGACACGUUUGAUGCGGCAGUUUCAUUUUAAAAGGCUCGAAAUCAUGCAAUGGCUUUGCACUUCUUUGUAUACUAAGAUCUUCAGACAAAGCAAAACGAAAAAAAAACUGUUGGCAACAUUUUCUUAAUUAAAAUCCUUCUUUUCCCAAUCGUUACGAACGCUUGAAUAUUUAACAAAAUCGUGUAAUUUCCCGAACUGUCUCUUUGCAUCAUUAAUUUCCAUCAACUAGCCGCAGGCAUAUACAUGUACAUGUAUAUACUUGCCUGUUCCAAUAAGCCAUCAGGGAAUUACCAGGGAAAUUCAAUAUGACCAGGGAGCGUGGCAGCCAGAGUUGUCAAACUCACCGGCUGUGAAAUGGAGAGCAAACUCAGGGAAAGCCACUUGUCCCAGUGCAAGUGUUCUCAGGACUAGCACUAACUUUAAAAAACAUGUUCCAGAGGAAACACACUGCAUAAAUCAGUACGAAGAGUACGAAGACCUGGAAACCGUCACUUGACAGUACCUAGAAAUGGGUGCGUCAGGUUGUAAUAAGAUGACCAAACUUCUUGAAAUGUACAAAACAAUAUUAAGAAACUGAGAAAUAAUUUGAUUGUCUUUACGAGUGAAGAAAUAAACAAGUGAUUAUUAGAACUGAAUCAAAUAGCGUGGUAGUUGGCUCCAUGUUAUCACAGAGCAAGGCCGGUUCACUGUGUGGGCGUCCAACGAUCUUCGAUUUCUUCACCCCUGGAUCGAGGCCCAGUUUAUGUGGCCGAUCAAGAUGAUCAUGUAGACGACAUCACUGUGACAUCCAUCCUUGAAUUAAAUUUACUUAUUAACAUUUUUGAGGGGGAACACACGAGAAAAUAAAAAAGUUAGAAAUAAAAGAUGGACGCAGUUACCAUAGUAACGGAUAAUGUGAGAAUGCUAGCAACCUUGCAUUAUCUUAUAAACUGAAAAUUCAGGUCGCAGUCAAUACAAGUAUGGACGAUACUGAAAUUAAAUUAAUCUUCCCCAUAAGGCAGUUAAUAAUAUAAACAGUAGUGACAUCUUAUCCUCUCCCUAGAUGAUUACUCCACCCAAAAAAGGGAAUACUUGGUGCCAAGCUUUAUCAUUCAAGGCAUACAUCUAACAGGAAUGACCUUUUCACUCCAUAAACAGGUAAUAAACCCUCUUGUAUUGAGAACGGUAUCAUCAGUUUGUUGACUUCGGUCAGAAUGGGAGCAACGAUCAGCACUCGGCCAAGAAGGGCAAGUAGUGACGUGACAGAGGGUCGACAACGGCCACAGUUACGCUCGGCAUCUGGGACAUUCUUAAAAACAGACAGUCACUUGUUGGCCCCAUGGUAUCCUGCUACACCUGUUACUAGUAAAAACAACUCUCCAAGGUUAACCAGAUCCUCUUUCAAUAAGAUACCUGAGGCUGAUGAAAUUAGCAAAAAUCCUAAUCUAGAGGAGGGCAGGCAACAGAGAGCAAAUAGUCGGUCAUUUCUGGGAAAGCUGAUCCGCCGUAAGAGGACCUCCUCUUUACUUGGCAGUAUAUCAACUGUCGAAGGAGCUGACACGGAAAUAUGUAUAGAAAUUUCCCAAGAUAAAAGUCCCAAAAUACUGCAAAGCAGAGCUGAACCGAACAGCUCCAACAUAAACGUGGAAAGGAAUCUGCAAGAUGAGGCAGAAAUCAGUUACCAGGACAGCAAAGAUGAUGAAGAUGACAGUGUCUUCUUAGAUGUUGAACCGAGACCUAGACUGGCAAGUGCUGAGAGUAGUUGCAGUGAAGGGGAACCAUCUGUCAUUGGGGGCAAUCAAUUACCAAAGAAACAAAGGAGUACAACAUUAGUAUACAGACCACCUGUAGCUGAGAAAGCAGUGCAAACUGAUCAAGUUGAAUACAUGUACACUGACAGUCGCAGUAUGCCAUGUGCCUACUGUAGACACCGUUGUCUCUGCUACAAGAAUGAUCCAUACGAUUCUAAUUCAUCCACCCAAUCACUAAAAUUGAAUUCUGAAGAGACAAAUAAACGCAGACGAAAACGGUGGUCUCCACUGAUAAAAAAGAGACCACUUCUAAUAAAACAAGCAGUUACUACUCAGCCACCAUCAAAAGCAAGGCACUGUGAAUAUGGGUAUCAGCCUACUCCACCAAACCCACAUCCAUCACGAAUGAUGACACAUAUAACCGACUACACACCUCAAUCACAACCAUCCUCACCUAAGGGAUGGCAUAUCCAGUAUCGUCAAAACAGAAGACGGCGACGAACCUUUUCUGAAGAUAGAGUUAAUGAACUGAAUUCUCAUCAGAGUAACAUCAACAGUAGUUAUCCUAGUCUGUGCUCACAAAAAUGUAUAUCUACACCAACUGACGAACAAAGACCCUCUGAUCAUAUCAGACGUGCAAGACUCUACACUUUAUGUCUCCAAAAAGCCAAGACACCCCUUGUGAAAAGUUCAUCUUACAGCCCAACAGUUCCGCUUAGACGACAAACAUGGUCAGAGAAAAGUCGUCCCACUGGUCCUCAAUGUUAAGGGUCAAAGAAGACUAAAGGUUUCCUGGGCAUGUUACGUCACUUGCGAAGCUCAUGCAGUGAAACCGAUAUAUCCAUGGAGCAUAGGCCAUCAGUGGACAGUAAUGGGUAUGUCGAUCCAUUCUAUAUCACCAGACAUUUCAACCGUCUCAACUUGAAAAGACUGUCCUUAUCGCAUCCUAACCUCAACAUUGGUUUGAAAGGAAGCAUAACUCCCCCUAGUGGUUUGAAAGGGAAAGUUUCAGCUGCUGUUGAGAGACUAGAAAGGGUGUUGACAGGGAGAACAUCAUUUGGGCGAACUUUCUCACAAGAAUCACAGCAAUCAACAAGUAACGGUUGGAACAGUGACUUACCAGGCAGUCCAUCCGACUCAGAUGCUGCUGUCUAUACGUACAAAAAACAACAGCGAUGUGAUUUAAAUCGUGAGAAUGGUUACAUGACAUUUGAUCCAGAACUGAAUCCUCCCUUGCCAAGACCUCGUCGAGUUUUAUCUAGUUCUUGCUCCUCAGCUCCAUCAAGUCCAGGUUUUCAGGAAAGAUGCAACACCGGUUUCGAGGAUGUCACAUGUAAUACUGGGUGCGAAGAAGAGAGCAUCUAUGAAAGUCUUGACAAUUAUUCCCCAAGGCACCGAGCAAGCACCUUGAAGAGUUUACCAUCUUCAGAAGGAGAAACCCCUCCUGAGGUGCCUCCAAGACCACCAUCUCAUCGACUGAGACAAAGACAACGUGUCCUUAGAAGACAGAUGCCCUUACCACCAAUCCCAACAGCUCACAGCACAAGCAUCUUGAAAGAUAGGUCACCAGUGCCAAUUAUGACUACUAGUUCAGCUGGUAACAUCAACACUGUCCAACACUCACUCAACAAAACAUCAGGUUGUAGAAAUAACUUUGUCACUGGACAAAGCUCGUCUUGUAGCACACUCCCCUUCCUUCGUAUGGAUUCAUCUGAAGAAGACUCCGUAUUUGAGGUACAUAUGGAGAACACAGCUGGUAGCAAAAUAAGGAAGGGAAAAACUACUGAAGACACACAAGUCUGUGUCGGUGUCAAAGAUGAGAAAAAUAUUAAUGAAAAGUGUCAAAAAGGUAGUGUUACAAAUACAAAUAAAUCUGAGAAACAAGUAGAAGGGCAUGCUGCUAUUGUUUAUGAAAACGAAGCUACAGUCAAUGGUAAUUAGACACAAGAAAGUGAUGGUCAUCAACAUUAACGUGAAUGAUACCUUUGUUCAUAAACUGCAUCACUUCUCUUCUCUCUCUUUAUGAAUUCUGCACGUAUAUAUUUACAUGUAGGCUUAUUGUGUGAUUUUAGUUAGGGUAAAAACGUGACCGGUUCUCUGGGAAAUUUCAUUCGUUGAGAAUUUAAUCUACAGUGUACUUAUAGUUAUUUAUGCCAUCCAAUAUUUCAACUUAAAGUGGAUAUUAAGGAUUUGAUUCAAAAUGAAGUGAACAAUGGAAAGACUUUCUGUGAACACAAGUCACACUUACAUUCGUAUACACUUAUACUUUUGAAACACGAUGAAUAAAUAUGCACACCUUCAUGAGAAAAUGACAGAAAAAAUACUCCCAAUGAUGUUCACCUUAAACGUAGGGUUUCUGAAGUGGCACACAUAUUGUGAAAAGGUCAAGUGAUGACUGAAAACCUAUCAAUAUUUCAUAGGUAUUUGAUUAAGAGUUUUACUUGGCAAUGCUACAUAUACAGUGUGUUGAUGAGGCAUGCAUGCAAAAUGGUGUAUAAAAUACACAUUUUCAAUGUCUUUCUUAAAAAUGGCCAUUGGCUAAUUUGCUUGUACAUGUCAAAGCAAAAUCAUAUCUAUAUUCAUUCUGUUCAAGUCUAUGCUGGCUCUAAUGUUAGAAUUACUGAACGUCAUGUCAGUGCACUCUAUUCUGAUAGGUCAAACGAGACUAUGCUGUGAAUUUCUACUGCCAACUCUAUAGCUGUUUUACCAUCAGUGAGAUACUCUAUAUGUACGUAUGCUUUACUUCAUUCCUACUGGAGUUGUAUAUUCAGUGAAUAUAUUGGCACAUGUAUCAUCCUUUUUCUUGUUUAUUUGUGGAGUUUUAAAAUCACAUCUGUUGAGAAGAUUCCUUCAUCAAUAGGUAAAACAAACUCAGUUUUCGAAAGCAGAUCUAAAUGAGGCAGUAGUUAAGCUAUUUAAUGGGUUGUAAUGGUAUGUAAUGUGAACAGAUAAUUAACACAUUGAAUAUUCAGCAGUGUUCAUAUAGUAGCAACGCUGACUUAUGUGACAAUGCAUAUUUUUAAUGGAAUCUUACAGGGUAUUCAAAGUAAUCAACUAAAAUUUAAACUAAGUGUAAGAUGAUGCCUUGAUGUGGGACUUGAUUACAAGAUAGAAGGGAUCACUAGAGGCAUAGCAGUGAGCAAUGAUAAGACAAGUUCAUUGUAUGAUCGUUGCAAAGUUUUAAACUCCAUUUAUAUCAUACAAUUUAUCAGCUGAAAAUAAUAGAUCCACUGAAAUUCAAAGUAGGAGAUUAAAACUAGGCCAGAGAGAAAAAUUUGCUGUUUGGAUAAUGAAUACUAUUUUCUCAUUAACCAAAAUUUGAAAUUGCCACGUAGGCUCAUUAUUUUUAACUUCCAACAAGCCCUUGUCAGACCUAAUGAAAGAAACAUCUCAACAACUGGAUGGCAGAUUUACU